AGACUCUCUCCCGCCCCUGGCUUCGGGCAGUGGCUGCUGGGCCCUUGGCCUUCCUGGGGUGAGGGUGGAGGGUAGGGGAAGGGGGUCUUUUCCCCAAGGAGCAAACCUCUCCCUUGGGGAAGUUCAUGAGGCCACGGGGCACUGAGUUCUUCCUGGUGGAGCUGCAGGAUGGCCUUGGCCAGGCGCUGCAACCUGCUCUUGCUCUGUUCAGCUUUGGAGGGUGAAGAUACCGGCUGGUUGGGUGGUGGGGCCCUGGCUGGACGGGAGAGAUCCUAGUCCAUGGCCUUCACCAGGUCCCAGCAACUAGGCCUGGGCAGAGGCUUGAUAAUCAGCAGGAUGGAUAAUCCGCCGGUAAAUAACGAGAAGCCAGCCCGCUGGCUGCAUAGCAGGAGGGUGUCUCAGUUGAAGCUCUUUGGUUAAAGGGAAAAGAAACCCUUCAGACGAGCAAACACGAUUUAUGGAGGGGAUGGAACAGCGCAUCUCACAGAGACCUAAGAAGAGACGGGCCGUCUGGAAAAUGAGGGCAUCCAAGGCACAAGGAGAUUCCCAGGCAAAGGGUGGAAUUGGAGCUGCAGCUGCCGGCCUACCCCAUAGCCACAGCAACACCAGAUCCGAGCUGUAUCAGCAAAUUACACCAGAUCCUACGGCAUGGCUGGAGCCUUAACCCACUGAGCAAGAAGAAACACACACAUGAUUGUAGAAAGCUUGGAAAACAGAAACCACCAAAAUGGAAGGGAAAAGCAGCUGUAAUCCAAGAUAACGGCUGUUAACACACUGAGCCCUGCCCAACCUGCUUCUUCAUUUACUUCUGCCUUGGUUGGUUGUGUGGCUACUGGAUGUCAGCCUGACUUCUGAGUGAAGGUCUGUUAAAGUGCUUUGGGAUGAGGAUAACGUUCUGGACGUCUCCACGACUCACCUGCUGCAGAGCAGAGCAUGGCAUGUGGAAUCUACUUAGCAAACAUCGAACUGGCAGGGGAAAGGUAUUAAACUUGGAGGGACUAGGGGCAGCCCCAGUCCCCAGCAGACAGACUGGCACAGCGUUACCUGUCCUGAAAGAGCAGCUCAGGGUCCCUGGGAGCAUCUCAGAUUGUCAAGAUCUUCCCCCACCCCUCUUUUAGUCCUGAUACAGACUCACUGUCACCAGGUGUAGCAUUGUUAUCCUUAUGAUCAUGGCUCUCACCUAGCUGUCUCCUGGCCUGCGUGGAAAAGAAGGUGUGAGCUUCUAGAUAGUGUCCCAGCCAAGUGAAAAUGAGGCAGAAGUUCCAGAACUGGAGAGCGGAAGCAGCCCUUAUGGGGAGGGAGGGAACCAAACACAUGGUCUUUGGGUUGGAAUCUGGCCCUCAGCCCCUCUGCCCCUUGCGGAACAUGAAAACAAAUCUCCUCUCGGUCCUGCUUGCUUGCUUCUUUAAUGGCAGGAGUGAGAGGCCAAAGGAGAUCCCACUGGGAACUCCCAGGAGGAAAGGCAGUAGUAAUAACAAUGAUGAGGAGAGCUUAUGGCUUGUUGAGGCUGCCGGCAAACAGAAAACAGGGCAAGUGGAGGCCACUCCUGGGGGCUGGGCGAAAUUUGCCCUCCUCUCGGCCUUUGAGGGUAGGGAGGUGCAGGGAAGGGCAGAGGACGCAGGAAGACCUUGGGACCCUGUUUCAGACUCAUCACUGCUUUUGGACUUCCUAGGUGUGUGGGACUCCUGAGAAGCCCGCCUCCCUCCCCGGAGUUUCUUCCUCUCAUCGGAGAAUUCUGGCUUCUCCAUUUCUGACAAGAUGAUUCAAAGCAAAAGUGGACUUGUCAGAGACAGGAAGGGAAGAUAAGAUAAAAAUAAAAAGUUAGCCAGACUUAGAAGUUUUUCUGGCCUUAGUUCCUGCUCUCUCUCUCCCCUCCAACAUUUGCAUUCUUGCAAACAAAAAUCCCACAGCAAAGCCCAGAAGGGGGGCCCAGGCCUUAGGCUCCAGGUCAAGGCCUGAGGGCAGUGGAGGAAGUGAUUCAGGGCCCCCCGGGGGAUGGAGGAGCUGGAGGCUGGGGCCAGGACACAGGGCUGCGGGCAGCGGGUCAGCCUCAGUCCGGCUCGCAGUGCCCCUGCCCCCAUUCACCCACAGGCAGGCCAGCCCGGAGCCAGAGACGGGUGACUGAUGGGUCCCAGCUUGAAUGGAAAGUCCAGAUUCCAGGGAGACAGCCUAAGAGGUAGGAGGAAAGCCACUUCUCACAUCUGCAACAAAAUUAAAAACGAAGUACAUAAAAUUCAUUAGUUUACAAAUAGCACUGUUACUUGUUACUCGGGGUAUUAACAAUCUCCUUUUU
ensembl:lncRNA